UUUCCGUAGGUGAACCUGCGGAAGGAUCAUUAACGAGUUUUGAAACGAGUUGUAGCUGGCCUUCCGAGGCAUGUGCACGCUCUGCUCAUCCACUCUACCCCUGUGCACUUACUGUAGGUUGGCGUGGGCUUCUUAACGGGAGCAUUCUGCCGGCCUAUGUAUACUACAAACACUUUAAAGUAUCAGAAUGUAAACGCGUCUAACGCAUCUAUAAUACAACUUUUAGCAACGGAUCUCUUGGCUCUCGCAUCGAUGAAGAACGCAGC
rnacentral:misc_RNA from 1 species